UACGAAGGGGGCUAGCGUUGUUCGGAAUUACUGGGCGUAAAGCGUGCGCAGGCGGCGGCUCAAGUCAGGUGUGAAAUCCCCGGGCUUAACCUGGGAAUUGCGCUUGAAACUAGGUCGCUAGAGUGUGGCAGAGGGGGGUGGAAUUCCACGUGUAGCAGUGAAAUGCGUAGAGAUGUGGAGGAACACCGAUGGCGAAGGCAGCCCCCUGGGUCAACACUGACGCUCAUGCACGAAAGCGUGGGGAGCAAACAGG
rnacentral:rRNA from 1 species